GUACAGUGGGUUAAUGAUCCAGCUUAUCAUUAGCAUUGCAGGUUUGAUCCCCAGCCCAGCCCAGUGGGUUAAGGAUCUAGAGUUGCCACAGGUAUGGCUUAGGUCACAGCUCUCUCUCCCUUGGGUUCAGUCCCUGGUCUCGGAACUUAUCUAUAUGCCAAGGAUGCAGCUGUAAAAGAAAAAGAGAAAAAAAGCAAGGUCUUUUUUUUUUUCCUCCUUAAGCCUGCGGCAUAUGGAAAUUCCCAGGCUAGGGGUUGAAUUGGAGCUGCAGCUGUCAGCCUACGUCAUAGCCACAGCCAUGGCAGAUCUGAACUGCAUCUGCAACCUACACCACAGCUCACAGCAACACUGGAUUACUUUUUUUUUUUUUUUUUCUUUGUCUUUUUAGGGCUGCACCCUCAGCAUGUGGAGGUUCCCAGGCUAGGGGUCUAAUCGGAGCUGUAGCUGCCAGCCUACACCGCAGCCACAGCAAUGCCAGAUCCGAGCCGAGUCUUCGACCUACACCUUAACCCGCUGAGCAAGGCCAAAAAUUGAACCGGCAACCUAGUCGGAUUUGUUUCCACUGCACCACGACAGGAAAUCCAACACUGGAUUCUUAACCCACUGAUCAAGGCCUGCAUCCUCGUGGAUGUAUUCGGGUUCUUAAUGCACUGAGCCACAACAGGAACUCCAAGAUUUUUUUUUUCCUUCUGGUCUCACGUAUGGCAUGUGGAAGUUCCUGGGCAAGGGAUCAAACCUGAGCCACAGCUGUGACCCUGGAUUCUUUACCCACUGUACCACCAGAGAACUCUGACAUACAAGAUCUUAAAGUUAACAUAUAGGAGUUCCUGUCGUGGCUCAGCAGAAAUGAAUCAGACUAGUAUCCACAAGGAUGCAGGUUUGAUAUCUGGCCUUGCUCUGGGUUAAGGAUCCGGUGUAACCAUGAGCUGUGUUGUAGGUUGAAGACGAGGCUUGGAUCCCAUGUUCCUGUGGCUCUGGCAUAGAACGGAGGCUACAGCUCCAAUUCAACCCCUAGCCCAGGAACUUCCAUGUGCCACGUGUGUGGCCCUAAAAAGACCAAGAACAAACAAAUUUAUUAAUCAUCUGAUUGGGGGAUCUUAAUUACAUAAUUGUUUAUAGUUGUACAACCAUCAUCACAACCCAGUUUUACAGCAUUUCCAUCCCAAACCCCCAGCCUGUCCCUCCCCAGCAACCUGUCUCCUUUGGUAACCAUAAAUUUUUCAAAGUCUGUGAGUCGGCUUCUAUUCUGCAAAUAAGUUCAUUAUAUCCUUUUUUUAGAUUCCGCAUAUAAGUGAUAUACGGUGUUUGUGUCUCUGUCUUCACUUAGCAUGGCAAUUUCUAGAUACAUGCAUGUUACUGCAAAUGCCAUUAUUUCAUUCCUUUUUAUGCCUGAGUAAUAUUCCAUCUUUAUCUACUCCUCUGUCAAUGGACAUUUAGGUUAUCUCCAUGUCUUGGCUGUUGUAUAUGGUGCUGCAGUGAACACUGGGGUACAUGUAUCUUUUCGAGUCAAGGUUUUCUUUGGGUACAUGCCCAGGAGCGGGAUUGCUAGAUAAAACGGUAAUUCUAUUUUUAGUUUUUUGGAGAAUCUCCAUACUGUUUUCCACAGUGUUUGCACCAAUUUACAUUCCUAUCAACAGUGGGAAAGGGUUACUUUUUCUCCACACCCUCUCCAGCAUUUAUUGUUUGUAGACUUUUUGAUGAUGGCCAUUCUGGCUGGUGUAGGGUGAUACCACAUAGUAGUUUUGAUUUGUGUUUCUUUAAUGAUUAGUGAUGUUGAACAUCUUUUCAUGUGUUUUUUGGCCAUCCAUUGUUUUAUUUUAUUUUAUUUUAUUUAUUUAUUUAUUUAUUUUUGUCUUUUUGCUGAUUCUUGGGCCGCUCCCGUGGCAUAUGGAGACUCCCAGGUUAAGGGUCCAGUCGGAGCUGUAGCUGCCGGCCUGUGCCAGAGACACAGCAACGCGGGAUUCGAGCUGCGUCUGCGACCCACACCACAGCUCACGGCAACACCGGAUCCUUAACCCACUGAGCAAGGCCGGGGAUCAAACCCGCAACCUCAUGUGGUUAAUGAACCCCACUAGCAACCAUGAGGAUGUGAGUUCGAUCCCUGGCCUUGCCCAUUGGGUUAAGGAUCCGGCGUUGCCAUGAGCUGUGGUGUAGGUCACAGAUGCAGCUUGGAUCUGGCGUUGCUGUGGCUCUGGUGUUAGCCAGUGGCUACAGCUCCAAUUUUACCCCUAGCCUGGGAACCUCCAAAUGCUGUGGAUGCGACCCUGAAAAGACAAAAGACAAAAAAAAAUAUGUGUGUGUGUGAAGUUCCCAUCGUGGCUCAUGGAUACCUGACUAGUACCCAUGAAGACACAGGUUUGAUCCCUGGCUUCCUCAGUGGGUUAAGGAUCUGGUGUUUCCGUGAGCUGCGGUGUAGGUCACAGACUCUGCCUGGAUUUGGCAUUGCUGUGGCUGUGGUUACAGCUCUGAUUCAACCCCUAGGUUGGGAUCCUCCAUAGCCUUGGGUGUGGCCCUAAAAAAAAAAAAAAAAAA
rnacentral:lncRNA from 1 species